rnacentral:rRNA from 1 species
UAGCAAUACAGUUGAUGGCGACCGGCAAACGGGUGCGGAACACGUACACAACCUUCCUUUUAGUGGAGAAUAGCCCAGGGAAACUUGGAUUAAUACUCCGUAACAUAUAGAAGUGGCAUCACUUCUAUAUUAUAGCAGCAAUGCGCUAGAAGAUGGGUGUGCGGCUGAUUAGAUAGUUGGCGGGGUAACGGCCCACCAAGUCGACGAUCAGUAACUGGUGUGAGAGCACGACCAGUCACACGGGCACUGAGACACGGGCCCGACUCCUACGGGAGGCAGCAGUAAGGAAUAUUGGUCAAUGGACGCAAGUCUGAACCAGCCAUGCCGCGUGGAGGAUGAAGGUCCUCUGGAUUGUAAACUUCUUUUAUUUGGGAAGAAACCCAUCUUUUCUAAGAUGGUUGACGGUACCAGAUGAAUAAGCACCGGCUAACUCCGUGCCAGCAGCCGCGGUAAUACGGAGGGUGCAAGCGUUAUCCGGAUUCACUGGGUUUAAAGGGUGCGUAGGUGGGCAAGUAAGUCAGUGGUGAAAUCUCCGGGCUUAACCCGGAAACUGCCAUUGAUACUAUUUGUCUUGAAUACUGUGGAGGUCAGCGGAAUAUGUCAUGUAGCGGUGAAAUGCUUAGAUAUGACAUAGAACACCAAUUGCGAAGGCAGCUGGCUACACAAAUAUUGACACUGAGGCACGAAAGCGUGGGGAUCAAACAGGAUUAGAUACCCUGGUAGUCCACGCCCUAAACUAUGGAUACUCGACAUUUGCGAUAAACUGCAAGUGUCUGAGCGAAAGCAUUAAGUAUCCCACCUGGGAAGUACGAUCGCAAGAUUGAAACUC